rnacentral:rRNA from 1 species
AAUGAACGCUGGCGGCAGGCCUAACACAUGCAAGUAGAACGAGUGGCGGACGGGUGAGUAAUGUCUGGGAAACUGCCUGAUGGUGGGGGAUGAAUACUGGAAACGGUAGCUAAUACCGCAUACCAUCGGAUGUUCCCAGAUGGGAUUAGCUAGUAGGUGGGGUAAAGGCAGAACUAGGCGACGAUCCCUAGCUGGUCUGAGAGGAUGACCAGCCACACUGGAACUAGGACACGUACCAGACUCCUACGGGAGGCAGCAGUGGGGCAUAUUUCACAAUGGGCGCGAGCCUGAUGCAUCCAUGCCGCUUGUAUGAAGAAGGCCUUGGGGUUGUGAAGUACUUUCAGCGGAGAGGCGUUACCCGCAGAAGAAGCACCGGCUAACUCCGUGCCAGCAGCCGCGGUAAUUC